rnacentral:tRNA from 1 species
GCGGUAUUAGCUCAGCUGGUUAGAGCGCUGGUUUGUGGUACCAGAGGUCACGGGUUCGAACCCCGUAUAUCGCCCCA